rnacentral:rRNA from 1 species
UCAGGACGAACGCUGGCGGCGUGCCUAAUACAUGCAGUCGAGCGGUCCUACUUCGGUAGGAUAGCGGCGGACGGGUGAGUAACACGUGGGCAACCUGCCCCCAAGACGGGAAUAACACCGGGAAACCGGUGCUAAUACCGGAUAAUCUUUUUCUUCGCAUGAAGAGAAAGUAAAAGGCUUCGGUCACUUGGGGAUGGGCCCGCGGCGCAUUAGCUAGUUGGUAAGGUAACGGCUUACCAAGGCGACGAUGCGUAGCCGACCUGAGAGGGUGACCGGCCACACUGGGACUGAGACACGGCCCAGACUCCUACGGGAGGCAGCAGUAGGGAAUUUUCCGCAAUGGGCGCAAGCCUGACGGAGCAACGCCGCGUGAGUGAGGACGGUCUUCGGAUUGUAAAGCUCUGUUCUGUGGGAAGAAAAAAAUGACGGUACCAUAGGAGAAAGCCCCGGCUAACUACGUGCCAGCAGCCGCGGUAAUACGUAGGGGGCGAGCGUUGUCCGGAAUUAUUGGGCGUAAAGCGCGCGCAGGCGGCUGAUUAAGUCAGAUGUGAAAGGCUACGGCUCAACCGUAGAGUUGCAUUUGAAACUGGUUAGCUUGAGUGCAGGAGAGGUGAGUGGAAUUCCCGGUGUAGCGGUGGAAUGCGUAGAGAUCGGGAGGAACACCAGUGGCGAAGGCGGCUCACUGGCCUGCAACUGACGCUGAGGCGCGAAAGCGUGGGGAGCGAACAGGAUUAGAUACCCUGGUAGUCCACGCCGUAAACGAUGAGUGCUAGGUGUUGGGGGGUACCACCCUCAGUGCCGAAGGAAACCCAAUAAGCACUCCGCCUGGGGAGUACGACCGCAAGGUUGAAACUCAAAGGAAUUGACGGGGGCCCGCACAAGCGGUGGAGCAUGUGGUUUAAUUCGAAGCAACGCGAAGAACCUUACCAGGGCUUGACAUCCCACUGAUCGGUGUAGAGAUAUACCUUUCCUUCGGGACAGUGGAGACAGGUGGUGCAUGGUUGUCGUCAGCUCGUGUCGUGAGAUGUUGGGUUAAGUCCCGCAACGAGCGCAACCCUUAUCCUUAGUUGCCAGCAGGUAAAGCUGGGCACUCUAAAGAGACAGCCGGUGAAAGCCGGAGGAAGGUGGGGAUGACGUCAAAUCAUCAUGCCCCUUAUGUCCUGGGCUACACACGUGCUACAAUGGUUGGUACAAAGGGAAGCGAAGCCGCGAGGUGAAGCAAAUCUCAUAAAACCAAUCUCAGUUCGGAUCGUAGGCUGCAACUCGCCUGCGUGAAGUCGGAAUCGCUAGUAAUCGCGGAUCAGCAUGCCGCGGUGAUACGUUCUCGGGCCUUGUACACACCGCCCGUCACACCACGGGAGUUUGCAACACCCGAAGUCGGUGAGGUACCUUUUAGGAGCCAGCCGCCGAAGGUGGGGCAGAUGACUGG